CAGCAGCCACGGGAAUACGUAGGGUGCGAGCGUUAAUCGAAUUACUGGGCGUAAAGCGUGCGCAGGCGGUUGUGUAAGACAGGUGUGAAAUCCCCGGGCUUAACCUGGGAACUGCGCUUGUGACUGCACAGCUAGAGUAUGGCAGAGGGGGGUGGAAUUCCACGUGUAGCAGUGAAAUGCGUAGAGAUGUGGAGGAACACCGAUGGCGAAGGCAGCCCCCUGGGCCAAUACUGACGCUCAUGCACGAAAGCGUGGGGAGCAAACAGGAUUAGAUACCCCCGUAGUCCCUGUCUCUUAUACA
rnacentral:rRNA from 1 species